rnacentral:rRNA from 1 species
UACGUAGGGUGCAAGCGUUUGUCCGGAAUUAUUGGGCGUAAAGAGCUCGUAGGCGGUCUGUCGCGUCGGCUGUGAAAGCCCGGAGCUCAACUCCGGGUCUGCAGUCGAUACGGGCAGACUUGAGUGUUGCAGGGGAGACUGGAAUUCCUGGUGUAGCGGUGAAAUGCGCAGAUAUCAGGAGGAACACCGGUGGCGAAGGCGGGUCUCUGGGCAACAACUGACGCUGAGGAGCGAAAGCGUGGGGAGCGAACAGG